rnacentral:rRNA from 1 species
CUUGACAAACUUAUAAGAGGUCCAGCCUGCCCAGUGACUCUGUUCAACGGCCGCGGUAUCCUAACCGUGCGAAGGUAGCGUAAUCACUUGUUCUUUAAAUGAGGACUAGUAUGAAUGGCACCACGAAGGUUAUACUGUCUCCUUUUUCUAAUCAGUGAAACUAAUCUUCCCGUGAAGAAACGGGAAUAAAAAUAUAAGACGAGAAGACCCUAUGGAGCUUUAAACAAAUAUACACCUGCCUCUUUAUCAAAAAUUUCAGAAGACAAGUAAUUACUCGGGCACUUUGAUAUAGCGUUUUAGGUUGGGGUGACCACGGAGCAAAAAACAACCUCCGCAGCGAACGGGAAUAUUCCCUUAACCAAGGGCCACAACCCCAAGUAUUGAUAAAUCAACACUAAUUGACCCAAUAAAUUUGACCAAUGAAC